UACGUAGGGGACGAGCGUUGUCCGGAAUUACUGGGGCGUAAAGGGCGCGCAGGCUGUAGAUCAAGUCAGCUGUGAAAUGUCUGGGCUUAACCCGGGCAUGCGGUUGAAACUGAUGUACUGGAGUGCUGUAGAGGCAAGUGGAAUUCCCAGUGUAGCGGUGAAAUGCGUAGAUACUGGGAAGAACACCGGUGGCGAAGGCGACUUGCUGGGCAGCAACUGACGCUGAGGCGCGAAAGCCAGGGGAGCAAACGGGAUUAGAUA
rnacentral:rRNA from 1 species